rnacentral:lncRNA from 1 species
GCAGUUAUAAUAAUCCAAUAUUUUCUAGGCAUGUGAUGCGGAGAACUGUUGGAUAGUAGGGCUUACAAUAAAUUGAACCAAAUUGAUAAUUAAUUUGUUUGAUUUGGUUCAUGAAUCAAAUAAGUCAAACUUAAAUUCAAAACUAAGCUCGUAAAAUAAAUGAAUUGAACUUUUUUUUAUAAUAAAGAGGGCCUAAGCCCAGAAAAAAGGAAAACCUACAAACAAACCACCCUAGGGGUAGUUAUACCUCUAACUUCA